UCUCUUUGGACAAUGGUUUAGAUUUACAAAUAGCCCUUUUUGAGGUUUCUCUCUUAAGCCGAGGUUUGAUGGUAAACCGAUAAGAUCAGCAAAGGCAGUCUUGUCUUGACUGAGUCUUGAAUCGGGAUCGCACUAAACUCUAAUAUAAUAUAAUCGUGGAGUAAAAAGUGGGCUUAAAGUUAAAAGUCGAUUAAAGUGAAAGUUUGUUAAAAUAUAAGAAAUAAAAUAAAAAUUAUUUUUUUAAAAAAAUAAACUUCGGAACGAAUUUAAUUUGCAUACAAAACUAAGAAAACUGAGGAGGAUGCCACUCAAAAGCACCUGAAGGAGGCCUUCGUUCUAUACGAUUGCGAGGGCAGCGGUUACAUCACCACCUCCACCCUCAAAGAAAUCAUCGCCGCCCUGGACGACAAGCUCUCCUCCAGCGAUUGCUGAGAUCGAUACGUUCCACAGCCUGCGCAAUCACUCCUUCCUGAACAAUACGCCGAUUACGGAGCUGAUCUACGUGAAACCCAAGCUGCUGAUAGCAGACGAUCGGGUGGUGAUCUGCGGCUCGGCGAACAUCAAUGAUCGCUCUAUGAUUGGGAAGCGAGACUCCGAAAUUGCGGCCAUAAUCAUGGACGAGGAGUUCGAGGACGGUCGCAUGAACGGGAGAAGGAAUCCGAGCGGAGUGUUUGCCGGUCGCCUCCGGAAAUAUCUUUUCAAGGAGCGUCUUGGCCUUUUGGAAGGAGAAGGAUCCAGUCGCUCCGACUUGGACAUCAGCGACCCAUUCUGCGACGACUUCUGGGACGGUACCUGGCGUCGGAUCUCCAAAUAUAUAGGCGCAUACAAAUUAAAUUCGUUCCGAAGUUUAUUUAAAAAAAAAAAAAUAAUUUUUAUUUUAUUUCUUAUAUUUUAACAAACUUUCACUUAAAUCGACUUUUAACGUUAAACCCACUUUUUACUCCACGAUUAUAUUAUAUUAGAGUUUAGUGCGAUCCCGAUUCAAGACUUAGUCAAGACAAGACCGCCUUUGCUGAUCUUAUCGGUUUACCAUCAAACCUCGGCUUAAGAGAGAAACCUCAAAAAGGGCUAUUUGUAAAUCUAAACCAUUGUCCAAAGAGACAUUAACAGGAUAUGACUCAUCCAGCAGAGGCUUCUGCGAUUUAAAAUUAUGUUUAUAUAUUGUAUUAGAUUAGUUAAGCUAGGGGUUGGAUAACACUCCCCCUUCUAAGUUGAAGCGUCCCGAUUCAAAAGACGGUGCAGAGAUGGAGUUUAAAUGAGCCGUUAAUUCUGCCACGAUAUUUUCUUCUUGGUUUUCUAUGUCUGGCAGAUUAUUUCCUUGAAAAAUAUUUUUAAGCCGUGGUUUUAUGGUGACAUAAAUUUUUCUUAUUUUUGAAAUUGAUAACCAAAUUAAAUAUGUUGAAGUUAGUGUUAUUACAAUCAGUGUUAA
rnacentral:sRNA from 1 species